rnacentral:rRNA from 1 species
GACGGAGGGUGCAAGCGUUGUUCGGAUUGACUGGGCGUAAAGGGCGUGUAGGCGGUUGGUCAAGUCUGGUGUGAAAGCCCGGGGCUUAACCCCGGAAGUGCAUUGGAAACUAGCCAGCUAGAGCGCGAGAGAGGAGGGUGGAAUUCCUGGUGUAGCGGUGAAAUGCGUAGAUAUCAGGAGGAACACCGGCGGCGAAGGCAAUCCCCUGGGCCUGCACUGACGCUCGAUGCACGAAAGCGUGGGGAGCAAACAGG